AGCUUCUAGAUCAUUUCUUGCCUAACUUUUUUUUUUUCCUGAAGAAAUGUUGUUCCAGGGAGUGUCUGACUAGUUCUGCAGCUUGGCAAAAAAGCCAGACGUUACCUCAUAGCUGCGGCCAGACAGCCCAUUUCUAUGCCAAGCAACUGCUGCAGGAGCACACAGCACAGGGCCCUGCUUGAUUAGCACUUCUGCUGUUUCAAGAGUCCUGGAGUGUUUUGUUCAAGGUGGGCUGCUGAGUGGGUACUUUGUGUUCUUUUGUGCAAAUGAGCUUGCAGGCAGGGGGAGGCUUGGGAGGAGGUAGAGUUGGAGCGGGGACCAGGACACAAUGGAAGAGGGCUACAUUAAUAUUCUGCAUUCAUGUUAUCAUUGGGAAACAGGAUCUGUUUGUGGUGACCUGUGCAAAAAGCACACGUAGGACCGCAUCCUAAAGGUCAAAGCAAAUGAAAGAAAUGGGAAAACAAAGAGUUGUAAUGACAGAUCAGGUCAAACUGAAUUAAAUGCUUAAUUGUUUCCUUUGUGCCUCAGCAAAUGGCUUUCUUUAAAGCCAUGGGGAUCUUUUCUUUUCAGCGAAAAUCAUCAAUUCAUCAGUGUGCUGGAAGAUGAAGAGUGUUUGCAAACACUGCUGCCAAUAUAAUUUUCCUGUCUUCUGCCCCUUUCUAUUGAUUUACCUAGUGUACGUGUGUCUACACACUUUAUACUUUAUGGGCCAAAUUCAGACCUGGGGUAAUGCCAUAGAAUUACACCUGCCUAUACCAACUCUGAAUCUGGCCCCAUCUAUGUACUUAACACCGUUUUUGGUUCAUUGUGUUGCUCACAAAAGUGAAGGACAAAUAGCACAAACAUGGAGUGGGCUAAAGCUGUCCAUCACACAGCUCUGCCAAGGCCCCUCAGUUCUGGACUGCAACACCCCCUGCUGUCACUGUCUCAGACUGACCUCUCUCAAUGUACUCGACAUCGCUAGUCAUGCUGGCCUUGUGCCAAACUGGGCAGUGUUUGUAAGGCAGAUGAGAGAUCAACCCUCACACUUAUUUUACCUGGUCCUCAGUGUAGAGAAAUGGAAAAAUAGUGUCAUUGGCUCACUGUGCCACACAUUGACUUAUUUUCUCUAGAUGCAAAUAACAUUGGAUCCUGCUUUCCGCUUGCACAAAAUAAAACAGAAAAUGUUUUAUGUCAGAAUAUUGCCAGUGGGGUAAUAAGAAAUAAUAAUAAUAAUAAUUAAUUAAUAAGCAUUUGCAUUUUUAUCUGGGGAUCUCAAUGCAUUUUACAAACAUCAGUAAAUUUAGCCUCACAACGGCUCUAUGAAUUUGGUUGGUAUCUUUAGACCCAUUUUACAGAUGUGGAAACUGAGGGAUGGAGAGGUAAAGUGACUUGGCCAACGUCACCUAGGAAAUCGGUGGCAGGGACAAGAAUUCUAUAACUCCUGACUCCUAGUCCUGUGUUUUAAUCACAAGGCCUCACUUCCUCUUGUAAGAGGAAUGAACCAAUUCCAGUUCAAUAAGAAUGGUCUUCAGUCUUCAACCAAACCUGAAUCUUUUCUUUGUGAAUGUAGAUUAGUUUAUUGUCUUGUGCACCUCUGCUCUGCUGGGUUCUAGCUGACAAGUGCAAGUUAAAACACCUGGUUGAAAGGUCACAAUCCAACAGAAUGCAUUUUUGGUACAGCCAAAUGCAAGGUAAUACACCUGGGAACAAAGAAUGCAGGUUAUAACUAGAGGAUGAGUGACUCUGUCGUGGAAAGCAGUGACUCAGAGAAGGAAUGAGGGAUUGUCAUAUCUAAUCACCUCCACGUGAGCGCAAGGCUGUGGCAAAAUAUACUAAUUGGUUGUUGGAUGUAUAAAAAGGGAACUAUCAAAUACAAUUAGGGAAAUUAUCUUGGCUCUGUACACUGCAUAGGUAAGGCUGCUACUAGAAUACUAUGUCCAUUUCUGGUGUCCACAUUUCAAGAAGGAUGUGGAAAUAUUGGAGAGAGUUCAAAGGAGGGCCACAAAAUGAUCCAAGGGCUAGACAACAAGCUUUAUGAUGUGAGGCUUAGGGACCUCAAUCUAAUCAGUUUAUCGAAGAGAAGGAUGAGAAGUUGAUCAUUGUUUAUAGGUACUUACGCAUGAACAAGGUAUCUGAUAGAAUGGGUCUGGGGGUGUGGGGUGGUUCAGUCUUAUAGACAAAGGUGUAACCAGAAGCAAUGGCUGGAAGUUGAAGUUAGAUAAAUUCAACCUUGAAAUAAGACACCAUUUCCUAGCAGUGAGGGUAAUUAAACAUUAGACCGGCUUAUCAUGGGCGGUGGGGCCUCAGCGGCUGUCUUGUUGAGUGUUUAAAAUGUGAUAAGCUAUCUUUCUAAAAGACAAACUGUAAUCUAGCUUCUGAGAGAAAUUCUUCCUGUGUGUUCGGGGGGAUGGGUGAGUGCUCUUGGAUGGUCAUGGUGGUUCCUUCUGGCCAUGGAGUUUGUGCAUCUGUGAAUGCUCCUGUUCAUUCCCUUCCUUUAUGGGCUGGGGGAGAACAGGAUGGCCUGCAUUGCCCUCAACAUGCUCAAAAUACUUCAGUUUUGCAUUAAGACAAUGACUAUAAUCAAAUUCCAUGCUUCAGACAGUUGCCUGAAGGGGUCAGGAAGGAUCUUUUUUCACCAAUGCAAAAUUGGCCAGGUGGAUUCUGAGGGAGUGGGGUUCCCCUUCUUCUGAAGCAUCAGAGAUGCCCACAGCUGAAAACAGGACACUAGACAGGCUGCACCAGUGUGGUGAGGUGAUACAAAGAAUCCUCUUUCUCAGAUGCCUGGCUGGUAGGUCUUGCUCACAUGGUCAGGGUCCAGCUGAUGGCCAGAGUUGGGGUCAGGAAAGAAUUUCCCCCAGGUCAGAUUGGCGGAGACCUUGGGAGGGUUUUGCCUUCUUCUGCAGUAUGAAGAUCAUUUGCUAGGAUCAUCUGGGCGUGCCUCACCUAAUCUAUUCCCUGCCAUUGCAGCUAUUGGUGGCACCUUGGUCUGUCCUGUUUUCUGCAUGUGGCACACAACUGGAUGGAAUUUAAUGGAGGUUAAACUAGAUGAUGUAAUGGUCCCUUUUGGUCUUGAACCCUAUCAAAGUAUGUAAAGCACUAAAUUCCCACGAUAGCAGCAGGGUUGUCUCCCUGCCAUCCCACAAGAAGAGAUUCUGAUACACAGAUAUAUUCGGUUUCCACAGUGCCCUUGCCUCCUGCACACAUUCCCACACCAUUAUAUUUUCUGAAGCUCAAUGCUCUGCACUGUCUCUUCAUGGUAAAUCUAAUGGAGUCAUUCAGAAAUGCCAAGAAAAGACAGCCUAGCAGAGACACGUCAUCUUCAAACAGGGCCCGAGAUCUACUUAGACAAAACGGCUUUCAAAAACCCAACAUGAAGACUGUACAAUGAAAACCCACCUCUGAUCUUUGCCUGCAUCUCCCCAAGCAGCCAAAGAAACACCUUUCAUGCUGAGUUUUUUCUU